rnacentral:rRNA from 1 species
UUGCUACUUACAUCAUUGAUGUAAGAUCAACUAUGUUGAAUAAAGUUCUGGGUAGAAUUAGAUAAUGACAUUUUCUGCCCAUGUGUCUUGACCAAUUACGUGCCAGCUGUCGCGGUAAUACGUAUAAGGCUAGCGUUAUUCAUGUUUAAUCGGUUUAAAGGGUACCUAGACGGCAAAUCAAGCUUAUGAAGAAAGGACUAAUUUGCUUGAGUUACAUCUGAGGGGGCUAUAAAGUACUGCUGGUGUAGGGAUGAAAUUCUAUGAUACCUUAUUUCGAAAGAAAAGUUAUGGCACAGGUAUAGGCGAAGGCAUCCCCUUAUAUGAUAACUGACGUUGAGGGACGAAGGCUCUGGACCACGAACAGGAUUAGAGACCCUGGUAGUUGGAGCAGUAAACGAUGAAUGUCAUAGAUUAGAUAUAUAAGUUUAUUCUAUAAAUGAAAGUGUAAGCAUUCCACCUCAAGAGUAAUAUGGCAACAUUGGAACUGAAAUCAUUAGACCGUUUCUGAAAUUAGUAGUGAAGUAUGUUGUUUAAUUUGAUAGUCCGCAAAAAACCUUACCACAAUUUGAAUAUUUAGAUUGUUUAUUGUUAUCUCAUUAGUUUCCUUUUAUUUAUAAUAAUGGAGUAGACAAGCAAAAACACUGAUUAAUUAUACAAAUUUAUAAACUCCUUAUUGAUGAAUAAAGAAUAAAAUUAAUGUUGAGGCAAUAACAUAUACUUACAAGCGUUGCACGGCUGUCGUCAGUUGAUGUCGCGAGACUGUGGUUUACUCCACCAAUUAACGUAAACCCUUGCUUUAUUUUUAGAUAAAGUAGAUAAUCACCGAUAUGGGGA